rnacentral:rRNA from 1 species
AGUCGAACGCCCUCGCAGGGGGAGUGGCAGACGGGUGAGUAACACGUGGGAACAUACCCUUUGGUUCGGAACAACGCCGGGAAACUGGCGCUAAUACCGGAUACGCCCUUUUGGGGAAAGGCUUGCUGCCGAAGGAUUGGCCCGCGUUCGAUUAGCUUGUUGGUGAGGUAACGGCUCACCAAGGCGACGAUCGAUAGCUGGUCUGAGAGGAUGGCCAGCCACAUUGGGACUGAGACACGGCCCAAACUCCUACGGGAGGCAGCAGUGGGGAAUAUUGGACAAUGGGCGCAAGCCUGAUCCAGCCAUGCCGCGUGAGUGAUGACGGCCUUAGGGUUGUAAAGCUCUUUCGCACGCGACGAUAAUGACGGUAGCGUGAGAAGAAGCCCCGGCUAACUUCGUGCCAGCAGCCGCGGUAAUACGAAGGGGGCUAGCGUUGUUCGGAAUCACUGGGCGUAAAGGGUGCGUAGGCGGGAUCUUAAGUCAGGGGUGAAAUCCCGAGGCUCAACCUCGGAACUGCCUUUGAUACUGGGGUCCUUGAGUCCGGAAGAGGUGAGUGGAACUGCGAGUGUAGAGGUGAAAUUCGUAGAUAUUCGCAAGAACACCGGUGGCGAAGGCGGCUCACUGGUCCGGAACUGACGCUGAGGCACGACAGCGUGGGGAGCAAACAGGAUUAGAUACCCUGGUAGUCCACGCCGUAAACGAUGAAUGCCAGCCGUUGGGUGAUUUAUCACUGAGUGGCGCAGCUAACGCUUUGAGCAUUCCGCCUGGGGGGUACGGUCGCAAGAUUAAAACUCAAAGGAAUUGAC